rnacentral:tRNA from 1 species
UGUUUGUAUUAUCAUUACUCUGACUUUAGGUUAGACCUUCCUGUCUGUAAAACAGGGCAAAUAA